GAGGAGGGGUGUGUGUGUGUGUGUGUGUGUGUGUGUUGGGGGGGUUCCCUGAGGGUUGGUGUAUUUGUAUGAGCUUUACUCUCUCACUCAGUCACUCACUUAGUGACACACACACACUCACACACACACCCUCCAGUAGACACCCGGCAACACAGACUGGCUCACUCCUUCCUUCUCCCUCCCUCUCUCACGCACUCGCCCUGACAAAACCACCGCUCCUUCCGGAGGAACCAGACCCACAGACAAGAGAACCGAGGAGUCGAGAGCCAAGGCAGGAGCGGCGGACGAAGCAGACCACCCGCGAAGAACAGCAUCUGAAAGGGCUGCUCAGGAGCCGGAGAUUCAGACCUGAGCACGCAGGUAACAUUUGUGAGGAGUGUCAUUGGAGUGCAUGUGACUGCGC
ensembl:lncRNA